UAGGGAAUCUUCCGCAAUGGACGCAAGUCUGACGGAGCAACGCCGCGUGAGUGAAGAAGGAUUUCGGUUCGUAAAACUCUGUUGUUAGAGAAGAACAGCGCAUAGAGUAACUGUUAUGCGUGUGACGGUAUCUAACCAGAAAGCCACGGCUAACUACGUGCCAGCAGCCGCGGUAAUACGUAGGUGGCAAGCGUUGUCCGGAUUUAUUGGGCGUAAAGCGAGCGCAGGCGGUCAAUUAAGUCGGAUGUGAAAGCCCCCGGCUCAACCGGGGAGGGUGAUUGGAAACUGGUGGACUUGAGUGCAGAAGAGGAGAGUGGAAUUCCAUGUGGAGCGGUGAAAUGCGUAGAUAUAUGGGGGAACACCAGUGGCGAAGGCGACUCUCUGGUCUGUAACUGACGCUGAGGCUCGAAAGCGUGGGUAGCAAACAGG
rnacentral:rRNA from 1 species